GACGAACGCGGCGGCGUGCUUAACACAUGCAAGUCGAACGGGUCUGCCUUGUUUUUUGCGGGGUGGGUCAGUGGCGAACGGGUGAGUAACACGUGAGUAACCUGCCCCUCACUUCUGGAUAACCGCUUGAAAGGGUGGCUAAUACGGGGUGUUCUGGCUGUGCCGCAUGGUGUGGCUGGGAAAGAUUCACUUUUGUGGUGUUUUGGUGGGGGAUGGGCUCGCGGCCUAUCAGCUUGUUGGUGGGGUGAUGGCCUGCCAAGGCUUUGACGGGUAGCCGGCCUGAGAGGGUGGGCGGUCACACUGGGACUGAGAUACGGCCCAGACUCCUGCGGGAGGCAGCAGUGGGGGGUAUUGCACAAUGGGCGGAAGCCUGAUGCAAGCGACGUCGCGUGAGGGAAGGAAGCCUUCCGGGUUGUGAACCUUCUU
rnacentral:rRNA from 1 species